rnacentral:piRNA from 1 species
AGAAAGGGUGCCAGAGCCAGGGC